rnacentral:lncRNA from 1 species
CUUGUAGCCCUUCAAACAGUUUUCAGAAGCCUGAGAAACUUGAUCUCCAGGUUGCGAGAUAUGUUCUUCCCUUCUCUUCUUGAAACAAAUUGCUUCUCUAGACUGAGCUGAGCUGUCACUGAAGAAUUUGGGGCUUGGAAAUAUUUGCCUUUUUAGUUUGCAAAAGAUGAGGCUAAUGUUGCCCAGGCUAGUGCCACCACCUGUGCAGGUUUUCCCACUGCAGUGAGAGGAAGAGGCACCAGGAAACUGCUCCACUUUCUCCCACACGUGGCUGGAGGUGGGUGACGACUUGGCAGAUCUUUGGCUCGGGAUCAGAGGCAGCAGCCUGGGAGAGGAGGACUCCUGUGCCGGGAGGAUGUAGCAUCUCCUCCUCUUCUCUUUGUGCAAGGGAGGCCUCGGACACCAGUCUAAGAAGAAGCUAAAGGACAUGCAAUAUUCUUGCAAAAUCAUCCCAUGAAGAGUAAAGGAACUAAAGAAGCCAGAAAUUAGGUAUACAAAAUUAUUCUUUGUUCUUAUUAUUUUUAUCUAGUACUUCAAAUAAUCCCCUGGAGAAAAAUAAGAUUCUAG